UAUGGGUAGGAAUCGGGUCGGAUCAUUUCUCAACCUCAUCGUGGAAUUGAGAAAUAAAAUAGGGGUCAGAUUAUUAGGGCUUUGAACAAUUAGUGUGAUUGAUUGAUAGAGAGAGCAGUAGAAGAAAAUUGGUGUGUUGAUCAAAGAGAUUUAAGCAUGUCGUUGAUGAAGGGAGAGCCAUUGGUGAGGAAGAUUGCGCUGAUAGCUAAAUACGCAGUGUUUCCGGGAGCUAUGGCUGCUGCGGUGAUCUAUUCUCCUCCGACUUAUGCUUCUUAUUAUAAGCCCCAAUCUUCUUCUUCAAAAUAAUCUGGGGAUACCCUUUUGUUUUCCUCAUGGGGUUCUUUUUGACUUGCCGAAUGCUUCUGGUUGCAGUAGUUUACUGAAAUGCUCUAUUUGUAAUAGACGUGGUAUGUAGUAAUAAUGCAAUGGCAGUUUGUUUCUGUACUCAAACUAUCGACUUUUGAAAAUCGGAAUAGACUC